CCGAUGUGGGACUUAAUCCCAGGACCCUGGAAUUAUGACCUGAGCCAAAGGCAGACAUUUAACCGACUGAGCCACCCAGGCAUCCCAGCACAGUAAUCUUCUAUCCAAAAUAUUCCAUUUGUUGCUGCUUUUACCCUCUCAUACUUCAGAACCCCCAAGCCCCUGGCUGCAGACUCUCCAAUUUUCUAGAAUUGUGUUGGAGUUAACAGAAUUCACCCCCAAGCAGAUUGUGUUGACUAUGAGAGACAGAGAAGCGAGGGUGCCUGCAUGGUGGGCACGUGUGUCUCUGUGGUGGUGGUGGGGAUAUAGCAAGAAUGACUUGAGAGUGGUGGAAGCUUUCUAGGGAAAAUGGCUUUGGGAAGACACGGGCAGAGCUUUGUGCAGAUGUCUCUCCAUACCCAUGAAGUUGGAUGUUAGCACUCUUAGAUGACUAUACGCCUGGCUCCUGAGCCAGUGGGGGGCGAAAUAGUGGUAUGUUGAUGAGUACUUAAUGACGGGUUUGGCAGGGAAAGGGGCAAUAAAUGAAGCCCUGAUUGGUAGUGUUUGCUGAAUUCUCAGAUUCACUUGGCUGAGUUCCAGCUACCAGUGUGAUGUCAUUGAACAUGGAGUUGGGAGGAAACGAGCAGUAACACCCCAUAUGCAGUAUCCCCACACAGAGAUCCAGGAGACAUAUAUAUCUUCAAGUGCAUAGAUAAGAGUAGGCAUAAUGAAAUAAUUAGGGAGUGAUGAGGUUUAAGUAUUUAUUGCCUUUAUUUUUAAUAUAAUUUAUUUAAUUGUAUGCCUAUAUAAUUUUUGAUGAUGGCAGUGUUUCAACAAUCAUCUGACAAAAUUCCUGAAGUUUUGACACUCAGCUCUCAUGAGUCCGUACAAGCUGGUUUUGGACAUUGGGUCCAAAGGAGAAGAACAACGCUCAGUGUGUUAGAGGAAGAUCCAAACUCCGAGGAGAAUACAAGGCUCCUGUCUCCCACUUUUUCCCCUCCCCUGGCAGGAGAAGAGCCCUAAAAUGGGUGUGAGACAAACAACUGGGCUCCUUUAACAUCACAAUAACAAAAACUAAAACAAAAAAACUCCCCAAACCAUUACCUGCUGGCACAGAAUUUUCAUCCCACCUCAUGGUUAACCCAUAUCCAUCUAGCAGAUAGCAGGUCUGGGAGGGAAGAUUUAUAGGAAGGGAAGUUUUGAGAUGGAAGGAAGAAGAGAGCUUGGGUGGUGUCAGAAUGGACAGAGACUAUCAUAGAAGGUUCUAGAAGCCAGGUAUGGUAUUUGGAUACUGGAUGCUUCAGCUGGUGAGAGAAAGCAGGAAGAAUAAUAGGAAAAAACUAAUUCCUUGCUCUUCACAGUUCUGCCCUGGGCCGGUUCUGGUACUAAUUUUGAAGAACAUUUCCUCACGAGAUUCUUAUGGUAAAGGGAAAAAACCUUAUGUGGUCUCAGAAACACAUCUUAUAAAAUAGGUCUCCCAGAAUUCAGGCCACAGAGCUGUCCUCAGCAGCCAUAAUGACACACAAAAUGAGAAGUGCCUGAGGCCUAGGUGCUACCAAAUCCUGCCCUGCUGAGGACACAUGGAGAAGAAAAUGACCAAAUGCCAUUUCAGUCCAUUAUCAAUCCAAUCUACUCCUUGAGUGGCUGCGGAGUAGAAAUCUAGUUCUAAAAAUAUCGUUGUAAUCUGUGGCUUGUAAUAAUCACACCUAUCAAAAGCCAGGUUAAAGUGUGUGUGUGUAUAUAUGUGUGUGUGUGUGUGUGUGUGUGUGUGAGAGAGAGAGAGAGAGAGAGAGAGAGCAUGUUGUGUGCAGGCUAGAAUGAGGAAAUGAACACUACCUUGUGCAUAUAUGCAACAGUAAUUUUCUUUCUCGUUUCAUAUUUUCGUUCUGGGCAGCAGAUUCAAUGCUGGCGAGCAGGGGAGUUGGGAGAAGGAAGCAGGCACUGCUGAGUACUCAUUAGGACCCAGGCACUGCAUACAGCCCCUUCCAUCCUUACCUCACACAGUGCUUGAGAACCUCUGAGGACCCGAGUGAUGACAAAUGAUUUUGUGCCUGGGCCUGGAAAACAACAUUUCAAAUUCGAAGCUUGGGAUCCUGCAGGAUUUGGUGUCUGUCUCUAUCUUACCACCCGCCUGCCCCUCCCUUGAACCUCUGUACUGACCAUCAAAUUGGGCAAAAGGCAUCAUGCUCCUACGGGCAGGGCUGCCCGAGAAGUCAGAGCUCAAGGCGUCCAGUGGCCCACUUCCUUCUGGUGACAGGCUGUUCCCUCCUGGCAUGGGUGCUGGCGGGAGGCCAGGGAGCAGUGGGGCCGUGAGGCAGCCUUGGCUCAGAGCCCUGGCUGCUGUCUGGGCAUGAAACUGGGCUCUGGCACCAGGAGCAUGGUUCUAGCUCUCUGACCCAGAGCUGCCUGUGCAGCUACCACCCCACCCAUCAGGCCCUGGUGGGGCCCAGUCCUUCUGCCCCUCAGGCAGGGCAGGCUGGGGAGCAGAGAUGGAUCUGGGAGGAAUGGCAGAAGCCAGCAGAGGAUGCCGAGGCAAAAGCAAGGAAUGUCUCCACGCAGAGAAACAGCCUCUGGGGGUGUGCCUGAGAUAGAGGAGAGAAUGGAUGUGUGUCUAGCAAGUGGACAGAGUAAGCUUUCCUCUGCUUCCUUGCUCUACGGUGGACUGGGGGCCUCAGCCCUACCAAUGGCAUCCCUCCAUGACCCCCCAGGGCCUCAAAUCCAGACGCAGUGUCUCUAAUGUGGGGCCCUCUCCCUGCCCUGAAAUGAGAGCUCUACCUGGGUCCCCGCAAACCGGUCUUUUUCAGUAGGGCCUCCUGCCGCCAGCUUUUCAACCGUGUUUUUCAGCCUCUGACCCCAGAGUAAUCUCAACUUCCUUGUACUCAGUUCAGAAGAUGUUUGCUAUUCAGGAUUCUGAUGCAGAGGUCUGAUAAGAGAGGCCUCGGGCCUUCGGAGUUCCUAAACCAGCAGAGACCAAGGAUUUGAAAGCUGAGAAGUGUAAGGACAGCCACACCCUGAGAGGUGGCCCCGCGCCAGCUCCUGUCACCUGAAAUCUUCCAGGAUAUUGAGAAAUGGGUGUUAGUGGGACUUCACUACAUUUACUUUGGAUGUCUUGUUUGUUUUGUUUUUGAAACGAGAGUUUCCCAUAGCACCAACAAAAUCCAAUCUGUGUUUUAUUGCGUCUACUGUAGCUCCUAUGCUUGGCUUGGUUUUGCUUUCUACCGCUGUGUCAAUUUUCUGCCACAGAGUAAGCCGUUGUGUAGCAAUCCAGUGUAGGAAAACAGAGAACGCUUUCCAAGCUGCCGUGGUAUCUCACCCCUAACUGGCCUAUCGGUGUGAGAGGCGCUUGGGGAGGAAGGGGCUGUCUUCAUGGGCAGCAGCUGGGGCCAGACCGUCACAGUUCCGUUUGCAACAGAGCCCACCGUACACCAAUGCUGAAAGCCUGUGUCUGUUUUAUCAGCCCAUCUCACGUGCUUCCCCUUCCCAUGGGUGACUACGUCAAGUGCUGAGGUGGAGGUGAGGUCCAAGGGCAAAGGAGGUGUGAAUUAGGCAUGGGCCAUUUUCAUCAGCCAAAGAGUACAGCAGUAACACAAGGCUGCAGGAAAUAUAAGUUUGGUGGUACAGUAACACUAAGUGGACUCCACUAACUAGACACGCUCUUGGUUUUAUACUGGGGUGCUGGUGUCACCUAGUCCCUUUCCCAAGGCUCAGUGCAAGGUUGUUUGGGACAAGUGUGUGAAAGUUGUUGCCAGAUAGUCCCAGGGUGCAAAUGCUUCCUUAUUAGCUCUGUGAUCUUGGAAGUUUUCUAGGCCUCAGUUCCCACAUCUAUAAAAGGGAGAAACUAAGCCUGUCACAUAGAAUUAAUGUGGGGGUUGAAUGAGAUUAGGAAAAUGAGGCAUGUCUACCACAUCGAACCCAUAGUAGGGACUCUCUCCAUGGACUGGAGAUCAGAGAACCCUACAGAAGGUCUGCUUUUAAGUCUUAGCCCAGCCAGGUGGUUCCACUUCUCUGUUUGCUUUGUGACAGAUGCAAAGGUUGAGAAUCCAUAUGCUGACUGAACAGCAUACUGACUUGUACUGAUGGUGCUGAUUAAUAUUGGGGUGAAGAGAAAAGUGAGCCCCUUGACUCAGCGACACAGUGUGGAGAGAAGAAUUAUCUUCGUGAACAAAUGUUGGAAGAGCAGAGCUGAGGAACACAGAAACAUGGCUGGCCUGAUCCUUGCCAUGCUGUCCAAGGACACACUCUAGUGGUAGCAUGUCUACGGUGAAUGGUUCCACUGACCCUGAGAGAGGUCUGCUACAACGUGGGGCUAAUGGAAUAGUGCCGACCCUGAGAUACCGUGAAGAUUCUAAGUGUCACUUAAAAGGACAACAUUCUAACUCCUACAACCCAACUUCAAUUAAUCCAUCUGUUCGUUCAGUGAACAUUUACUGAGUGCUUGUUUUGUGCCUGGGAAUCCAAAAAUAAGAGAGAUACUGACUCAGCCCUCCAGGAGAGUAGUCUGGUGGGAGCUACAGACACGCCAUCGGGAAAGUACAGCGCUGGUGCCAGCUGUGGGACGUGCAGGCCACUGUGGGGGAAAUAGGCAGACACCCCGCACGGCCUGGAGCUCUCAGCCCAGCCUCUAGCAACGUGAUGUAGGGUCACAGUCGCGGAAGUGUGGUUAUAGACCUGCAUGACCCAUAUUAACACGGAUCCGUCUGAUUUACCAAGGUGCAUGGCUGGCUUCAAAACAUGGACGAUUCUCUCACAAAACUGCUUCAUUCCCAGAGGUUUUGUUAAUUGGGACAUUUCUUGUCAUUAACUUGAGUAUUACGACUGACUAGCGAUAGGAGGAAAACCUAAGUUGGAGGAGGAAGGGUGGAGCGGGGGAUGCAGAAAUAGAGCGUUGGCCGGAAUCUAAGGGCAGUGGUUUGUUAAUUUAUCUGUACCUAUGCUUUUAUAUCCAUAUUUUUAAAAGCCUACUCAAGUUGUAAGAAUUUGAUUGAAAUGCAUUUUAAUUCUUAGAUAAAUUUGGGAAACAGAAGUAUUUUUUAAAACUACUACCUCUCUCCAUCUCAUUUUUUAAAGGAGGAAAAAACUUCCAGCCCUGGAAAGUUUGGCUGGGUUAAGUGUGUGUGUGUGUGCGCGCGCACGCGUGCAUGCAGAGCUCUCUUUCAUCUUCUGUAAGAACUUUACUUCUGUUAGGGAAUAACUCUCCAUUUAAGGUGUUGAGGGUUUUGAUGUCCUUGCCUGGAAGAAGUCAGGCUGGACUCAACCUCUGGUUGGAGGGCAGCUUAUCUUAAGUUCCAUCUGCUGGAGUCUCCUUUGUCCAAUCCUCUCUGUGCUCUCCUCUGGAAACCCUUUGAGGCUGGAUGCUUAACUCUCCUUUAACUCUCCCGCUUAGCGCUUCCUCUCUUAUCCGUGUAUUGAUGAUGGCCGGAUUGUUAGCUCCAACCCAAAUAUUUCCCACCAGCAGCAGACCUGUUUCCUCUUACCAAUUAGACAUCUUUCGUGCAUGUUCCACGGGCACCUCAGACCUAACAGACUCAAACUGUUCCCCCGAGAGUGCUUGCUCUCACCCAGCGGCGCCUGUCUUAGUGGGAGCUGCUGCAUCCGGGAGUCAUACUCACAGCCCAUCCAUUACCAAGGCCUAGUCCAUCCCCAAGUAUCCUUCCUGUUCUCCUCCUCCCCUCCACUCCUAAGGCCAACGCUCUUCUUCAGGCUCUCCUCAGCUCCUUCUGGGUUGUUAUUAAUUAUCUCUCUAUCCCUCUUAGUCUUCUCAACCCAUGCUUUCCUCUACCACCAGAUAUAUCUUUAUAAUGUGCAAUCUCCGUGUCUCUUCCUUGUGUCAAAUCAUUCCGGGGUUUUCCAUUUUCUAGCUCAUCAUAGCGGUGGACGACUAACUCAUUUGAAUAGUUUCCUUCUCAAAUGUUAGCUAUACUUAAAAAAUAGUUUCAUUCUCUUUGGUGGGUUUUCUUCCUAUUACAUGGCCGUGGCUCCUCGGGCUCUUUGCUGGCAUCUGCUUCUCUGCUUGACCUGUAACACUCAGCAGGCCCACAGUGUGGGUUCUCUGCCCUCUUCUCCCUUCUGAUUACAUGGCCUUCUUUGGUGACCUUAUCCAUGGCUCCUGGUGGCAGCUACACACUGAUUCCCACAGUUAUGACUCUAGCGCUGACCUUUCUGCUGAGCUCGAGACUGA